AUUGAACGCUGGCGGCAGGCUUAACACAUGCAAGUCGAACGAUCGGCGGACGGGUGAGUAAUGUCUGGGAAACUGCCUGUUGGAGGGGGAUAACUACUGGAAACGGUAGCUAAUACCGCAUACCAUCAGAUGUGCCCAGAUGGGAUUAGCUAGUGGGUGGGGUAAUGGCGCACCUAGGCGACGAUCCCUAGCUGGUCUGAGAGGAGGACCAGCCAAACUGGAACGGAGACAGGGUCCAGACUCCUACGGGAGGAAGAAGUGGGGAAUAUUGCACAAUGGGCGAAAGCCGGAUACAGCCAUGCGGCGUGUGUGAAGAGGGCCUUCGGGUGGUAAAGCACUUUCUGAGAGGAGGCGUUACUCGCAGAAGAAGCACCGGCUAACUCCGUGCCAGCAGCCGCGGUAAUAC
rnacentral:rRNA from 1 species